UACGGGGGGGGCAAGCGUUGUUCGGAAUUACUGGGCGUAAAGGGCUCGUAGGUGGCCAACUAAGUCAGACGUGAAAUCCCUCAGCUUAACUGGGGAACUGCGUCUGAUACUGGAUGGCUUGAGAUUGGGAGAGAGAUGCGGAAUUCCAGGUGUAGCGGUGAAAUGCGUAGAUAUCUGGAGGAACACCGGUGGCGAAGGCGGCAUCCUGGACCAACACUGACACUGAGGAGCGAAAGCCAGGGGAGCAAACGGG
rnacentral:rRNA from 1 species